UAUUGAAAUCUGAAGGGUCUCAAUUAGAGUUACAAUUACAAUGUCAAAAAGGAGUAAAAUAAAAUAUCCUAAUACCAUAAUUUCUCCACAUGAAGCACUGGACUUAAAAAAAUUAAAAUUGAGGGUUGGCUCAUCUUCUAUAAGGAGGGUCUAUGUUCCAGUUCUUUCUACACUUGAUGUUGCUUUUGUACUAGUUAUAAACUAAAGAGUAGUGGAGUUCUGUUUCUCUUUAAAAUAAUAGUUCUCCUUUUUAACAGUGGUGGAGUUCUAUUUCCCUAUGUUCCCAAACUUUAAGUUUUCAAUUUAUUUUCAAAAAGAUUUUCAAUAGUGGAAAGAAAAAGAUAAAAUCAGCUUUACUUUCCAUUAUGAAGAAUAGCUACAACAGAAAUUCAAACUGAAAUGUAAAUAAAUGAUCAUUUUGUUAACUUCUCAACUCUUAACUUCUUCAAUGCUUCACUUCAUUUGACGGUUCUCGGCUUCAAGACUACAAUCAACUGAAACCAUGCUUAAAUGCGCAGAAGGGGAAGAAGUAUAAACAAUAAACUUUCAAAUUUAAAGGAUGUUCACAGAAGCAAUAUCUUCUUUUGUUUCUGUCCCCUAGCAUGCCCAUUAUGUUCAAAUUUGUGGUGGUGUUUAUCUGAGAUACAUGCAUGAUGAGCUAAUUCAUUGCAAGGUAUCCAUUGUUGAACCAGGAGAGUAACAAGAGUUGCUGAGGUCAUAUUCGAAUCAUUGAUAUGAUUAGCAUAUACCCCACACUGAAGCUCCUCAUGAAGCUCCAAUCCUUUCAAGUGGUUACUUCCAUUUUUAUCCUAUUGAAGCUCCUCAUGAAGCUCCAAUCCUUUGAAGUUGCUGCAAAGCAAUAAAUAUUGAGCUGAAGCAAUUUUCUCAUCAUGAGUGUUUAUGUUUUUUUAGGUUAUGGUUGAGAAAAUGGGACUUCCUGAUGGAUUGGAUUCUGGUACAUCUAAAGGUUAUGGUGAUGUUCUACGUUGUUGUCGGACGUGGAGUAAGAUUGAAAGACGGAUUGCCACUCUUGAGUUUGACCGUGAUAGGAAAUCGAUGGGAGUUAUAGUGAGUUCCAGCUCAAGAAGAAAGUCAUUGCUUGUAAAGGUGCAUACACCACCUUUUCCCUCCCUCACUCUUCUUUCAUUUAGCCAUGUGGAGUUUUAUAGUUUUUAAUUCGAUGUAUUGUCACAUAGGAGAAACUGAUUUUCUGAUAAGAAUUGCAAAACUAUAAAAUGUGGUUCCACCAUUUUAAUCUUUGUUUCAAUUUUUUUUGUCUCUUUGCUAGUAUUUUUUGCAACUUCAAUUUGCGUGCGAGAUAGAUUGUGAACAAAUUUACUUGGAACUUUAAUGGGGAAGAGUAUGAUGAA